rnacentral:rRNA from 1 species
AUUCGAUGAUACGCGAGGAACCUUACCCGGGCUUGAACUGCACUAGACGAAUGCAGAGAUGCAUUUUCCCUUCGGGGCUGGUGUGGAGGUGCUGCAUGGUUGUCGUCAGCUCGUGCCGUGAGGUGUCGGCUUAAGUGCCAUAACGAGCGCAACCCUUGCCGUCGGUUGCCAUCACGUAAUGGUGGGCACUCCGUUGGGACUGCCAUCGCAAGAUGUGAGGAAGGUGGGGAUGACGUCAAAUCAGCACGGCCCUUAUGUCCAGGGCUACACACGUGUUACAAUGGCCAGUACAGUGGGCAGCCACCCGGCGACGGGGAGCAAAUCCAUAAAGCUGGUCUUAGUUCGGAUCGGAGUCUGCAACUCGACUCCGUGAAGCUGGAUUCGCUAGUAAUCGCAGAUCAGCCAUGCUGCGGUGAAUACGUUCCCGGGCCUUGUACACACCGCCCGUCAAGCCAUGGAAGUUGGGAGUGCCUGAAGUCCGUAACCGCAAGGAGCGGCCUAGGGUAAAACCGAUGACUGGGGCU